UUAUCGUUUAUUUGAUAGUACUUACUACUUGGAUACCUGUGGUAAUUCUAGAGCUAAUACAUGCUAAAAGCCCCGACUCCGGGAGGGGUGUAUUUAUUAGAUAAAAAACCAAUGCCCUUCGGGGCUACUUGGCGAUUCAUAAUAACUUAACGAAUCGCAUGGCCUUGCGCCGGCGAUGGUUCAUUCAAAUUUCUGCCCUAUCAACUUUCGAUGGUAGGAUAGUGGCCUACCAUGGUGUCUACGGGUAACGGGGAAUUAGGGUUCGAUUCCGGAGAGGGAGCCUGAGAAACGGCUACCACAUCCAAGGAAGGCAGCAGGCGCGCAAAUUACCCAAUCCCGACACGGGGAGGUAGUGACAAUAAAUACUGAUACAGGGCUCUUUCGGGUCUUGUAAUUGGAAUGAGUACAAUUUAAAUCCCUUAACGAGGAACAAUUGGAGGGCAAGUCUGGUGCCAGCAGCCGCGGUAAUUCCAGCUCCAAUAGCGUAUAUUAAAGUUGUUGCAGUUAAAAAGCUCGUAGUUGAAACUUGGGCCUGGCUGGCCGGUCCGCCUCACCGCGUGCACUGGUUUGGCCGGGCCUUUCCUUCUGGGGAACCGCAUGCCCUUAACUGGGUGUGCCGGGGAUUCAGGACUUUUACUUUGAAAAAAUUAGAGUGUUCAAAGCAGGCCUAUGCUCGAAUACAUUAGCAUGGAAUAAUAGAAUAGGACGUGUGGUUCUAUUUUGUUGGUUUCUAGAACCGCCGU
rnacentral:rRNA from 1 species